rnacentral:rRNA from 1 species
CCUACGGGAGGCAGCAGUGGGGAAUCUUGCGCAAUGGGCGAAAGCCUGACGCAGCAACGCCGCGUGCGGGAAGAAGGCUUUCGGGCUGUAAACCGCUUUCAGCAGGAACGAAAAUGACGGUACCUGCAGAAGAAGGAGCGGCCAACUAUGUGCCAGCAGCCGCGGUGAUACAUAGGCUUCAAGCGUUGUCCGGAUUUAUUGGGCGUAAAGAGUUCGUAGGCGGUCGAGUAAGUCGGGUGUGAAAAUUCUGGGCUCAACCCAGAGACGCCACCCGAUACUGCUUGACUUGAGUUCGAUAGGGGAGUGGGGAAUUCCUAGUGUAGCGGUGAAAUGCGCAGAUAUUAGGAGGAACACCGGUGGCGAAGGCGCCACUCUGGAUCGAUACUGACGCUGAGGAACGAAAGCAUGGGUAGCAAACAGGAUUAGAUACCCUGGUAGUCCAUGCCGUAAACGGUGGGCACUAGGUGUGGGAUUCUAUUAACGAAUUCCGCGCCGUCGCUAACGCAUUAAGUGCCCCGCCUGGGGGAGGUACGGUCGCAGACUAAACUACAAGAAGUAGACGCGNGAGAGNGCGAGCGACGACGAGGAGAGG